GUGUUUGCUUUGGCAGCACAUAUACUAAAAUUGGAAUGAUAGAGAGAAGAUUAGCAUGGCCCCUGUGCAAGGAUGACAUGCAAAUUCGCAAAGCAUUCCAUAUUAAA
ensembl:snRNA U6 U6 spliceosomal RNA